rnacentral:lncRNA from 1 species
GGGUUUUGAAGGUUUUCGAUCCUCUAGAGGGUUUCAGAGAUUUACAUGAGUAAAGUAUGAAUAGAAAAAAGUAAAGAAAAAACAGUAGUCUCAGCCUGCUAUGAAGUUUCUGUUAUAAUGUCCUAACUUUUUAGUUUGCAAUUUUAUAGGAGCAAGACAAGUUUUCCUCAACAGCUGCCUCCUGUUCCUCGUCAUGUGAUUGUGAAACAGCUGGCUGCACGUACGACAACAUCCAAUAACCAAACAGCAGGCUGCACAUAAGACAACAUCCAAUAAGUUGCUGGCACCUCUAGUGCUCCUGACUUGCUUUGUUCAU